UUUACUUUUAUUAGUUAGUUCCGCCGAAGUUUAAAAUGAGCACAAUAUUGCAUCAAUAAAUUAUUAUUAGUAACUAAGAGCGAGAAAAUGGAAAUUUAUGUAGCCCAUCCGAUACCGGUGCCUAAUGGCCGCAGCUUUAGUGCGACUAUAAAAUGCAGUGAAUUAUGCCAGGGAAAGGUUAUUAAAUAAAUUUUGUAUGCGGCUCAUUAAACCUGACAGGCGGAGCACAAAAAAAAUUAAUGCCAGUUGAAACAUGCCAGAAAGGUCCCAGUGGCAACAAAAAUUGAAUAACCACAGUGAGCAUUCACACCUGUACCUUCCAGGUAUAUAAGGUAUGUUAGUAUGUGGGUAUGAAUAAAGUGAAUAAAGUGCCUGACACUAAACUCAACACGCACUCAAUUACCCACAACGUACUCCCAAUAUGGUGCCAGGAACUGAGCACUGAGGACGUAAUGCCGCACGUGUAAGGCCAUCUUCCCACUUAAUUCAUUCAUAAUUCGCCAUUUGCCAGGUCAUAACCCGGAAUCAUUUCCGCUUCCGGCAGGAAAAAUAUGAUUAAAUUUGUCAAACUCGACGGAGUUCCAGUUCCGACUGCGCCACCACAAUGACCAACAUUAAGCUUCGUGGAAUGGAGUUGUUUUUAGAUCGAAAGCAAUUACUUGAAUAGUUUUAAGCCAGCUUUGUUUAAUCCAAAUCAUCACCGUACCUAUUCUAUAAUUUACUUGAAUUUUUCAUCGAAAUACUUUCUACAUGGCAUAGCCUGCAGCAAAUUACGUACAAUUUAUUAUUUUAAUUAAAUGGCUGGUUGUCAA